CGCCUCGCCGCUCCGUAACGUGGUUAUGGAGUGUCCGCGGGGUGCGGUGCUCGGGCGGGAGCGAGGAGUCAGAUCGUUCCCUGUGGUGAAAUAAAAACACUUGAAAAGCCGACAGCUUUCAGAAGUGUAAUCACCCAGCGUAAGAGAAUGGCUGUCCCGGGGACAUCACUGCAGCAUGUCUGACGAUGUAACAUACCUUCAGGGAUGUGGUGAGCAGAGGUACCAGACAGCUCUCCUGCUGCAACUGACGUUGCUCCAGACCCUGCAGAAACAAGAGAGGUAGCUGUCUGCUGCGAGUUCCUACUGCACACACGAGCACUGUGGUCUGGGGAAAUGAAUCCUCCUGGGCUUCAGGAAAGCUUUUC
rnacentral:lncRNA from 1 species